rnacentral:rRNA from 1 species
AUCUUGACAUGGGCGCAAGCCUGACCGCCUGCCGCGUGAGUGACGAAGGUCUUCGGAUUGUAAAGCUCUUUUGCCAGGGACGAUAAUGACGGUACCUGGAGAAUAAGCCCCGGCUAACUUCGUGCCAGCAGCCGCGGUAAUACGAAGGGGGCUAGCGUUGUUCGGAAUUACUGGGCGUAAAGCGCACGUAGGCGGAUUUGUAAGUCAGGGGUGAAAUCCCGGGGCUCAACCUCGGAACUGCCUUUGAUACUGCGAAUCUCGAGUCCGAUAGAGGUGAGUGGAAUUCCUAGUGUAGAGGUGAAAUUCGUAGAUAUUAGGAAGAACACCAGUGGCGAAGGCGGCUCACUGGAUCGGUACUGACGCUGAGGUGCGAAAG